rnacentral:rRNA from 1 species
AAGCAGACCUGGGAAGUACGCUCGCGAGAGUGCAACUCAAAGGAAUUGACGGGGCCCCGCACAGGUAGGGAUGAAUGUGGUUUAAUUCGAAGCAACGCGGAGAAACUUACCUAAGCUUGACAUCCCAAUGA